ensembl:lncRNA
AUCCAUGAGGACGUGGAUUUGAUCCCUGGCUUUGCUCAGUGGGUUAAGGAUCCGGCCCUGCCAUAAGCUUUUGUGUAGUUUGCAGACAUGGCUUGGAUCUGGCCUUUCUGUGGCUGUGGCAGAGGCCAGCAGCUGUAGCUUCAAUUAGACCCCUAGCCUGGGAACUUCCAUAUGCUGUGGGUGCGGCCCUAAAAAAAACAGAAAAAAAAAGUAUCAAUAUCAUAGGCUUGUUAUGAGGGUUAAAUGACAUACUUCAUGCAAACUUCUUGAUACAUGGUGAGUACCCAGUGAAGGCUAGAUUUUAAAAACUUGUGUUAUCACUGGUUUUACUAUUACUGCUGUUGCCAUGCUAUGAUUACUGUGAAAAUUCUUAUUCUGUGUACUACACAGCAUAUAAUUCAGAUGUGUGAUUAAAUUAACAGGACACAUUCAGCAACAUCAUCCCUAUGUUACUGGAAAACUGUUUAAUCAGUGAUAUAGCUGUUAAUUUGCUAAAACCUAUGGAAACAUUGAAGUAGUCAUUACCGACUUUGCUAUGGCUAUACUAUUUAUAUUUUAUAAAGUAUAUACAUGUUAUUUAUAUAUUGUAUUUGAGCUGAGUGUCCAGCCUUCCUCAUUAGGAUUUUUAACCUAUUCUUUUUCAGUACAGACAGGAUGAAGAAGUGAAAACAUGAUGUUGGAAUAAAUGAUUUAUGAAUACCUGGAGUCAUAGCAUUUGAAACAAAGCAUGCAUACAUCUGAUAUUUUGUGGUGUCAUUACCUGUUGAUUAAGAAGAGUCCAUGUGACUACUCAGCAAUACUCCAGUUAAGGCCUGUGUUCACUCCACUUCCUUCAGGGAUGGUGGAAGAAGGCGUGUGGGAGAGGUAGUGGUACUGGUACUGUGCCCAGGGCAUUGUGUGGUCAGCCUUGUUUCUCCUUGGAGAUGCAUGCUUGUUUGUCGUGGUGUCUGGUAUUAAUCAUCCAAUAGCUUACUCAGCCUGGUCCUCCCAGCCAGGUAAAGAGAGUGUCUCAGGAACUGCUGAAGGGUCUGAAACGUUAGCCUGCCACCCUUUUAUGGGUGUGGCAGAAGACAGGAGACUCCUGGGUUUAGAGACAGAGGACAUCCAGGGCACUGCAGCCUCAUGGGCUCCAUAUUUGUGUUCUUUUCCUUUGCCUCACGUUCCACGGGGGCAACACAAAGGGGUUCAGUUUAGGAGGACACUGCCCACAUGCUGGGUUUGUUUCAUGGCUAAAGAAAUCUUGAAUUGUGUGAUGAAUCUUUCCUCAUGGGCUGCACAGAAACCUACCUGACCUUUUUCCAGAGGAAGAGCUAAACUUCAUCACAUUGGACAGUAAAGAAACCUGCCCUCUCCUUGGGAGAGGGAUGUUAUUCUCCAAGACUGUUUACCAUAGUGUUGCAAAAGGUGCAGAAAUGCUAGGGACCAUGGAGAAUGGUCCUCAGCAGGCCUCUGAGUAGCGGAUCUGAAUAGACGUCACAGAGUAUGAGUUAAUGUUCAUCUGCGUUGCCUGUUUAUUCUUGAACUGCAUCGCAGAGGCCUUUUCUAUUUCUGAAGUCCUCCAUGCUAUAUUCAGGACUGAAUAUCCUGAAUUAAAACUUGAUUCUCUUCUCAGUAAGUAGAUAUUGUUGAACUCAAUUGAUAUGCAUGCUGAGGUUGUUUAGGAAUGUUACUUUGAAAUGCAUCAAAAUAAGAAGGAUGGAGAUGGACAGGGGUGGCUAGGUGGUUUGAUAGGUGUCAAAGCAAAUAAUGGCAAAAUAUUAAUUGUAGAGUCUAGGUAAUGUGUAUAUGAUUGUUCACUGUUCAGUUGUUUCAGUUUGUCCGUUUGAAAUUGUUCAAAAUGUUGGGGGGAAGGCUAACUCUCUCUCCCCUUCUCUCUUCCAAGUCAGUUUUCUUUGCAACUAAACAAGGCUUGUAAUUGCAAGAAAACUUUAAUGGCAGUUUACAUCAAAAUAUGGAUAGAUGAUAACCAUUUUUAAGAAUUGUCUAGUCAGGAGUUCCUGUCAUGGUGCAGCAGAAUUGAAUCUGACUAGGAACCAUGAGGUCGUGGGUUCCAUCCCUGGCCUCGUUCAGCAGUGAGUUAAGGGUCUGGCAUUGCCAUGAGCUGUGGUGUAGAUCGCAAAUGCAGCUCAGAUCCUGAGCUGUUGUGGCUGUGGUGUAGGCCAGCAGCUGUAGCUCCGAUUGGACCCCUAGCCUGGGAACCUCCAUAUGCCGUGGUGCGGCCCUAAAAAAAAAAAAAAGGAAUUAUCUAGUCAGAGUGGUUUUACUUUUAGCUGUUUUUAGCUUAACUGGGUUCUUUUUAAGAUUGGGAGGUUUAGAAAACUAUUUAAGUUAGUUAUACGGUGUUUCAUGCCCCAAAUACAUUUUUUAGGUAAAGGAGGCAAGCUAGUUUCACUUAGGACAUCUUUCUGGGUGAGCUGCUCUCAAAGUUUUCUUAACAUUUUUGAAAUUUGAGUUUCCAAGUUUUUUUCCCAACUCUUUCACAGAGGCCAUAUCUGUGUAUGUUACAUUUCUAUCUGAUGGGUAGAGUUUGGGGCUGAGAAUAGGAUUUCUGGCUUACUGGGAACGAUAAUGUAGAGUUAGAACAGAAUACCUAGGAACGGGAAGUGUCAUGGCUACUUAAAAAGGAGGGCCGCCUGUGUAAUUAAAACUUAAGAGUUUUUUGGAGUUCCCGUCGUGGCGCAGUGGUUAACGAAUCCGACUAGGAACCAUGAGGUUGCUCAGUGGGUUAACGAUCCGGCGUUGCCCUGAGCUGUGGUGUAGGUUGCAGACGCGGCUCAGAUCCCAUGUUGCUAUGGCUCUGGCAUAGACUGGAGGCUGCAGCUCCGAUUGGACCCCUAGCCUGGGAACCUCCAUAUGCCGCGGGAGCGGCCCGAAGAAAUAGCAAAAAG